rnacentral:misc_RNA from 1 species
CCCUGUGACCCAUCUAAUAGC